rnacentral:rRNA from 1 species
AUUGAACGCUAGCGGGAUGCUUUACACAUGCCAGUCGAACGGAGUGGCGGACGGGUUAGUAAUAUAUCGUAACGUGCCAAGUAGAGGGGGCUAACUCUUCGAAAGAGUGGCUAACACCGCCUCCUCUUCGCGCGGCCGUUAUCGGAUUAGCUAGUUGGUGGGGUAAAGGCUCACCAAGGCAACGAUCCGUAGCUGGUUUGAGAGGACGACCAGCCACACGGGGACUGAGACACGGCCCAGACUCCUACGGGAGGCAGCAGUGGGGAAUUGUGGACAAUGGGGGAAACCCUGAUCCAGCCAUCCCGCGUGUAUGAUGAAGGCCUUCGGGUUGUAAAGUACUUUUGGCAGAGAAGCGGUAUCUGCAGAAUAAGCACCGGCUAACUACGUGCCAGCAGCCGCGGUAAUAC